CACGUAGGGCGCAAGCGUUGUCCGGAAUUAUUGGGCGUAAAGAGCUCGUAGGCGGUCUGUUGCGUCCGCUGUGAAAACUCGGGGCUUAACCCCGAGCCUGCAGUGGAUACGGGCAGACUAGAGGUAGGUAGGGGAGAAUGGAAUUCCCGGUGUAGCGGUGAAAUGCGCAGAUAUCGGGAGGAACACCGGUGGCGAAGGCGGUUCUCUGGGCCUUACCCUGACGCUGAGGAGCGAAAGCGUGGGGAGCGAACAGG
rnacentral:rRNA from 1 species